CAACCGGUCGUCUAGCCCGGUCAAGGAUGGCGGCCUCUCGAGCCGCAGACCCGGGUUCAAAUCCCGGCCGGGGCACCA
rnacentral:tRNA from 1 species